CCUCUUGCUGUGGUUGGGAAGUUGAUACCAGUACCAGCUACUCCCAUCAACAAUGUUUUCACUAAGCUUAAGCUUCGACGACAUAGGCAACCUGAGCCUUCUCAAUAGGGCUUGUUAUUCGUACAUAGGCAACCUGAGGCUUCUCAAUAGGCAUUGUGCUGCUGAAUUCAUAUCUCUUCUUCUCACUGAUGGAUUGUAAAGGGAAAUAGUUUACUACUACAAAAUACGUUUCUUUUGCUACUAGCCAACAAUUAACAUGCUAAUUUCAGGAGAAAUUUGG
rnacentral:lncRNA from 1 species